GCACCCGUAGCUCAGGUGGAUAGAGCGAAGGUUUCCUAAACCUUGUCAGCGGGGGUUCGAGUCCCUCCGGGUGCA
rnacentral:tRNA from 1 species